ACCUUCUUUUUCCAAAGCGCCAUGCCAAAACCAGCGGUUCUAAGUUUUAGAGCUUAGUUCUGUUGGUCAUGCUAGUAUGGUAUGUUUUAAAGAAGGGAGAGCAAAAAUGCAGCAUCGGAAAUGAGUCCAGGAGGAACCUCUUUCCUAAUGUUCAGUGUUCUAGGGCUCAAGAUUCUGUGUUACACAU
ensembl:snoRNA Small nucleolar RNA SNORA81